CCUACGGGUGGCAGCAGUGGGGAAUAUUGCACAAUGGGGGAGACCCUGAUGCAGCGACGCCGCGUGAGUGAAGAAGUAAUUCGUUACGUAAAGCUCUAUCAGCCGGGAAGAAACACUGACCUUACGGUCCGCAGACGGUACCUGAGUAAGAAGCCCCGGCUAAAUACGUGCCAGCAGCCGCGGUGAUACGUAGGUGUCAAGCGUUAUCCGGGUUUACUGGGGGUAAAGGGGGCGUAGACGGUGCGAUACGUCUGGAGUGAAAUGCCGCAGCUUAACUGCGGAACAGCUUUGGAAACUGGCGAACUAGAGUGCGUGAGGGGUAAGCGGAAUGCCUAGUGUAGCGGUGAAAUGCGUAGAUAUCAGGAGGAACACCGGUGGCGAAGGCGGCUUACUGGACCGUAACUGACGUUGAGGCUCGAAAGCGUGGGGAGCAAACAGGAUUAGAUACCCGAGUAGUC
rnacentral:rRNA from 1 species